rnacentral:rRNA from 1 species
GACGAACGCUGGCGGCGUGCUUAACACAUGCAAGUCGAGCGGAAAGGCCCUUCGGGGUACUCGAGCGGCGAACGGGUGAGUAACACGUGAGUAACCUGCCCUAGGCUCUGGGAUAACUGUCGGAAACGAUGGCUAAUACCGGAUAUUCAGGCGUGAUCGCAUGGUCGUGUUUGGAAAGUUUUUCGGCUUGGGAUGGGCUCGCGGCCUAUCAGCUUGUUGGUGGGGUGAUGGCCUACCAAGGCUUCGACGGGUAGCCGGCCUGAGAGGGCGACCGGCCACACUGGGACUGAGACACGGCCCAGACUCCUACGGGAGGCAGCAGUGGGGAAUAUUGCACAAUGGGCGAAAGCCUGAUGCAGCGACGCCGCGUGAGGGAUGACGGCCUUCGGGUUGUAAACCUCUUUCAGCAGGGACGAAGCGGAAGUGACGGUACCUGCAGAAGAAGCGCCGGCCAACUACGUGCCAGCAGCCGCCGUAAAAC